rnacentral:rRNA from 1 species
GGCCGCGGGAAUUCGAUUCAGGCCUAACACAUGCAAGUCGAGCGGGGAUAGGGUGCUUGCACCUGAUUCCUAGCGGCGGACGGGUGAGUAAUGCUUAGGAAUUUGCCUAUUAGUGGGGGACAACGUUCCGAAAGGGACGCUAAUACCGCAUACGUCCUACGGGAGAAAGCAGGGGAUCUUCGGACCUUGCGCUAAUAGAUGAGCCUAAGUCGGAUUAGCUAGUUGGUGGGGUAAAGGCCUACCAAGGCGACGAUCUGUAGCGGGUCUGAGAGGAUGAUCCGCCACACUGGGACUGAGACACGGCCCAGACUCCUACGGGAGGCAGCAGUGGGGAAUAUUGGACAAUGGGGGGAACCCUGAUCCAGCAAGGCCGCGUGUGUGAAGAAGGCCUUUUGGUUGUAAAUCAAAGGGGCGAGGAGGAGGCUUACCUGGUUAAUACCUGGGAUAAGUGGACGUACUCGCAG